CUAUGGCAAUUGGCAAGAACAAGCGCCUUACAAAAGGCAGCAAAAAGGGAGCCACAAAUAAAGUGGUUGAUUCAUUUUCUAAGAAAUAUUGGUAUGAUACGAUGGCACCAGCCAUAUUCAAUAUUAGAUAUAUUAGAAAAACACUCAUUACAAUAACUAAAGAACCAAAAUUGUAUUUGGUAGCUUCAAGGACUGUGUUUUUUGAAGUAAGCCUUGUAUAAUGAUAAAAUUGCUUUUAGAAAUUUCAGGUUAAUUAUUGAGGAAGUUCAUGGCAAAAAACUGCCUGAGUAGGGUAUGUAUCUUACCCUGACCAAAUGGGAUCCAUGUUCAAAAAAUGGCAGACUAUGACUGAAACUCACAUUGGUGUCACCACUGUUGACAUUUAGGUGGUUCACAUGUUUUGUGAUAUUUUUACUACAAAAGGAAACAGAUGUGGAAAACUUCUGAUGGUCAAUACCAAUAGGUCCUUUAUAUCCAGAAGAAAAUGUUGGAAAUCAUAACCCAAAAGGUGCAAACAAAUGCCUUGAAAGAAAAGGCCAACAAAUUGACUGCUGACAAUACUGGGAAAGACAUAAAAAGCUUGAAAAUCUAGUUAUCCUCUCCAUAAUAUUUCCCUUAGAAGAUUAAAAAUGCUAUGAAGCUCAUAUUUGAAUUGGAAAGCUCAUGGAACUUUAUGAUGAAAGUAGGAGUUCUAGAAAAGAUUGUGGGGUGGGGAUGAUACAGGUGUGAACAUUGAAAGAGCUUAUAGAUAUAAUCCACUAGUUCAAUAAUCUGUUU
rnacentral:lncRNA from 1 species